AGUGAACGCUGGCGGUAGGCCUAACACAUGCAAGUCGAACGGCAGCACAGUAAGAGCUUGCUCUUACGGGUGGCGAGUGGCGGACGGGUGAGGCAUACAUCGGAAUCUACUUUUUCGUGGGGGAUAACGUAGGGAAACUUACGCUAAUACCGCAUACGACCUACGGGUGAAAGCAGGGGAUCUUCGGACCUUGCGCGAUUGAAUGAGCCGAUGUCGGAUUAGCUAGUUGGCGGGGUAAAGGCCCACCAAGGCGACGAUCCGUAGCUGGUCUGAGAGGAUGAGCAGCCACACUGGAACUGAGACACGGUCCAGACUCCGACGGGAGGCAGCAGUGGGGAAUAUUGGACAAUGGGCGCAAGCCUGAUCCAGCCAUACCGCGUGGGUGAAGAAGGCCUUCGGGUUGUAAAGCCCUUUUGGUGGGAAAGAAAAGCAGCAGGUUAAUACCCCGCUGUUCUGACGGUACCCAAAGAAUAAGCACCGGCUAACUUC
rnacentral:rRNA from 1 species